rnacentral:rRNA from 1 species
UGUUUCGGCUAGGGGGCCAUCCCGGCUUACCAACCCGAUGCAAACUGCGAAUACCGGAGAAUGUUAUCACGGGAGACACACGGCGGGUGCUAACGUCCGUCGUGAAGAGGGAAACAACCCAGACCGCCAGCUAAGGUCCCAAAGUCAUGGUUAAGUGGGAAACGAUGUGGGAAGGCCCAGACAGCCAGGAUGUUGGCUUAGAAGCAGCCAUCAUUUAAAGAAAGCGUAAUAGCUCACUGGUCGAGUCGGCCUGCGCGGAAGAUGUAACGGGGCUAAACCAUGCACCGAAGCUGCGGCAGCGAACGUAUCACUUAAAGCGAUUCAGCGGGUUACGAUUGACGGAGCGAAGCGACGUCAAAGCGUAUACAAAGUCGAGUCGGUUUAAGGAUACGUUCGUUGGGUAGGGGAGCGUUCUGUAAGCCUGUGAAGGUGGCCUGUGAGGGUUGCUGGAGGUAUCAGAAGUGCGAAUGCUGACAUAAGUAACGAUAAAGCGGGUGAAAAGCCCGCUCGCCGGAAGACCAAGGGUUCCUGUCCAACGUUAAUCGGGGCAGGGUGAGUCGACCCCUAAGGCGAGGCCGAAAGGCGUAGUCGAUGGGAAACGGGUUAAUAUUCCCGUACUUGGUGUUACUGCGAAGGGGGGACGGAGAAGGCUAUGUUGGCCGGGCGACGGUUGUCCCGGUUUAAGCGUGUAGGUGUGUGUUCCAGGUAAAUCCGGUUCAC